GCCAGAUUCUGUGGCAUGCACCUGUAGUGCCAUCUACUCAGGAGGCUGAGGCAGAAUGAUUGCUUGAGCCCAGAAGUCUGAGGCUAGUCUGGGCAAUACAGUGAGUCUUUUUCUCAA
rnacentral:sRNA from 1 species